rnacentral:rRNA from 1 species
UACGGAGGGUGCAAGCGUUAUCCGGAUUCACUGGGUUUAAAGGUGCGUAGGCGGGCAUGUAAGUCCGUGGUGAAAUCUCCGAGCUUAACUCGGAAACUGUCAUGGAUACUAUGUGUCUUGAAUGUUGUGGAGGUGAGCGGAAUAUGUCAUGUAGCGGUGAAAUACUUAGAUAUGACACAGAACUCCGAUUGCGAAGGCAGCUCACUAAACUGUAACUGACGCUGAGGCACGAAAGCGUGGGGAUCAAACAGG